rnacentral:rRNA from 1 species
AUAGUAGCUUGCGUACUUGACCUAGCGGCGGACGGGUGAGUAAUGCUUAGGAAUCUGCCUAUUAGUGGGGGACAACAUCUCGAAAGGGAUGCUAAUACCGCAUACGUCCUACGGGAGAAAGCAGGGGACCUUCGGGCCUUGCGCUAAUAGAUGAGCCUAAGUCGGAUUAGCUAGUUGGUGGGGUAAAGGCCUACCAAGGCGACGAUCUGUAGCGGGUCUGAGAGGAUGAUCCGCCACACUGGGACUGAGACACGGCCCAGACUCCUACGGGAGGCAGCAGUGGGGAAUAUUGGACAAUGGGGGGAACCCUGAUCCAGCCAUGCCGCGUGUGUGAAGAAGGCCUUUUGGUUGUAAAGCACUUUAAGCGAGGAGGAGGCUACCGAGAUUAAUACUCUUGGAUAGUGGACGUUACUCGCAGAAUAAGCACCGGCUAACUCUGUGCCAGCAGCCGCGGUAAUACAGAGGGUGCAAGCGUUAAUCGGAUUUACUGGGCGUAAAGCGCGCGUAGGUGGCCAAUUAAGUCAAAUGUGAAAUCCCCGAGCUUAACUUGGGAAUUGCAUUCGAUACUGGUUGGCUAGAGUAUGGGAGAGGAUGGUAGAAUUCCAGGUGUAGCGGUGAAAUGCGUAGAGAUCUGGAGGAAUACCGAUGGCGAAGGCAGCCAUCUGGCCUAAUACUGACACUGAGGUGCGAAAGCAUGGGGAGCAAACAGGAUUAGAUACCCUGGUAGUCCAUGCCGUAAACGAUGUCUACUAGCCGUUGGGGCCUUUGAGGCUUUAGUGGCGCAGCUAACGCGAUAAGUAGACCGCCUGGGGAGUACGGUCGCAAGACUAAAACUCAAAUGAAUUGACGGGGGCCCGCACAAGCGGUGGAGCAUGUGGUUUAAUUCGAUGCAACGCGAAGAACCUUACCUGGUCUUGACAUAGUAAGAACUUUCCAGAGAUGGAUUGGUGCCUUCGGGAACUUACAUACAGGUGCUGCAU